rnacentral:rRNA from 1 species
UACAGAGGGGGCAAGCGUUGUCCGGAUUUACUGGGCGUACAGCGCGCGCAGGCGGCCGUGUAUGUGACCGGUGACAGUCGCGGGCUCAACCCGCGCCGGCCCGGUUACACAGCAUAGCUGGAGGCAGGGAGAGGGGCGUGGAAUUCCGGGUGUAGUGGUGAAAUGCGUAGAGAUCCGGAGGAACCCCAGAGGCGAAGGCGGCGCCCUGGCUCGCCACUGACGCUCAGACACGACAGCAUGGGGAGCGAACGGG